UUGUGUGAAUACUAGCUAGUGGACUGAAAAUUAGCGUCUAAGAAUGAAGCAUGACAUGGGAAAUGGCCACGUCGUUGACGUAAUUCCGUCCAUUAAAGCCACGAAAGCCUCAUUGCUGAUAUAACAGUUUCCUUGGAGUCGGAGCACUGUGAGGAUCCCUUUUUUCUGGUGGAUCUUGGAGAUAUCAUCAGCAAGUAUCGAACAUGGAAGGAGCUCGUUCCCCGGGUCCACCCGUUCUAUGCUGUCAAGUGCAAUACGGAUUAUACAGUAAUCAAGCUGCUAGCCGACCUGGGGUCCUCAUUUGAUUGUGCCAGCAAGGUAAGUUCUAGACAAGUCGCACACUCUAACGCAAGAAUGCAGAAACACGCCUUAAUUAUUAAUUAUGCAUUCUACAUAGUGUUGGUUUAGAGAUAUCCCCAGUACUCUGACGGUAAGAGAGCUAGACUGACAUUUGAAAAACUGGUAAGAGAGCUAGAUGGACAUUUGGACAGCUGGUAAGAGGGCUACAUGAACAUUUAGACAGCUGGUGAGAGGGAUAGACGGACAUUUAGACAGCUGGUGAGAGGGAUAGACGGA